rnacentral:rRNA from 1 species
GGGGGGGCAAGCGUUUGUUCGGAAUUACUGGGCGUAAAGGGCGCGCAGGCGGCCCGGCAAGUCCUACGUGAAAUCCCACAGCUCAACUGUGGAACUGCGUGGGAUACUGCCAGGCUUGAGUCCGGGAGAGGAGAGUGGAAUUCCCAGUGUAGCGGUGAAAUGCGUAGAUAUUGGGAGGAACACCGGUGGCGAAGGCGGCUCUCUGGACCUGUACUGACGCUGAGGCGCGAAAGCUAGGGGAGCAAACGGGGAUUAGAUACCCCGGUAGUCCUAGCCGUAAACUUUGAGCACUUGGUGUGGCGGGUAUCGACCCCCUGCCGUGCCGAAGCUAACGCAUUAAGUGCUCCGCCUGGGGGAGUACGGUCGCAAGGCUG